GGCGGUGGAGAGGGUAGAGGGGGAGGCCUUCGGGCGGUGGAGAGGGUAGAGGGGGAGGCCUUCGGGCGGUGGAGAGGGGAGGGUGGUCUUCGGACCACGUGCAGAACAGGAGGUCACGGCUGGCACGUCCCUCAGGCUUCCCUCCUUGCCCCAGCCUCGCGGGCCUCCUAACUGCCCCGUUCCAAGGGUGCCACCAGACCCCGCUGGAGAGGAACUUUUCUGUUGGCUGGAUUUAAUCACCACCCAUUCCCGGUUCCGCGUUUCCUUUAAGUGGGGCUGGCGGAGCCGCAAGGCGGCAAGGAACUGGAUUGCGAUUGAGCCCGCCUCCCGCAGUACAAGCGGCCGCCGGGUCGGGUGGGAGGAGGGGACUCCGGGACAAGGAACAUGGCGGCGGCGGACCUCGCUCACAUUCCUGAUGUGGACAUCGACUCCGACGGCGUCUUCAAGUAUGUGCUGAUCCGAGUCCACUCGGCUCCGCGCUCCGGGGCUCCGGCUGCAGAGAGCAAGGAGAUCGUGCGCGGCUACAAGUGGGCUGAGUACCAUGCGGACAUCUACGACAAAGUGUCGGGCGACAUGCAGAAGCAGGGCUGUGACUGUGAGUGUCUGGGCGGCGGGCGCAUCUCCCACCAGAGUCAGGACAAGAAGAUUCACGUGUACGGCUACUCCAUGGUGAGCCACAGCCCCGUCCCGCCCUGCUGGAGGCCCCAGUACCAGCUUCGAGGCCCACCUGAGCCUGCUGCCCUGACCCGUGGCCCCAGCUGAGCACGCAGACUUCCCGGGGUUCUCCCAGGGUCGGCGGCAGAGCCCUCCCUCCAGGGCCCAUUGUGUUCCUGCAUUCUCCCAUGGAGCACACGCCAGACCUGAGGGGUGGGACGGAGACCCCCAGACAUGGCCGGCCGUCUCCUCUCCCUGCCCUGGGAGGCCUUGCUGGGCCCCCCAGAGGCGAUCAGUACCUGGGUGGAGCUCAGAGUCCCCGCCUGUGCGCUUCACAAAAACCACCAGCAGAUGAGACCCACGUGCGUCCCUCUGGGCGCCUCAGGCCCCAGGAUCCACCAUCAAAGCCUAUGGUCCUGCCCAGCACGCCAUUUCAACUGAGAAAAUCAAAGCCAAGUACCCCGACUACGAGGUCACCUGGGCUAACGACGGCUACUGAGCAUUCCCAGCCCGGGGCCUGCUGCCUCCAGCAGCCACUUUUGAGCCCCGGCCUUUGCCUGCACUCCUCCUGCGGGGCUGGCCCUGCCUGCUCUUGCGGCAGCCCCUGAUGACGUGCUGUCCACCAGGCCUUGGAGACAGGCUAGCCUGGCCACAGAAUUAAACGUGUUGCCACACCUGCC